rnacentral:rRNA from 1 species
AGAGUUUGAUCAUGGCUCAGAAUCAACGCUGGCGGCGUGCCUAACACAUGCAAGUCGAACGCGAAAGGGGAGCAAUCCCUGAGUAGAGUGGCAAACGGGUGAGUAACACGUGGGCGACCUGCCUUCGAGUGGGGGAUAACGUUCCGAAAGGAACGCUAAUACCGCAUGACAUCCUGCUUUUGGAAAAGCGGAGAUCAAAGCUGGGGAUUCGCAAGAACCUGGCGCUUGAAGAGGGGCCCGCGCCUGAUUAGCUAGUUGGUGAGGUAACGGCUCACCAAGGCUACGAUCAGUAUCCGGCCUGAGAGGGCGGACGGACACACUGGGACUGAGACACGGCCCAGACUCCUACGGGAGGCAGCAGUGGGGAAUUGUUCGCAAUGGGCGCAAGCCUGACGACGCAACGCCGCGUGGAGGAUGAAGAUCUUCGGGUCGUAAACUCCUGUCGAGUGGGAAGAAUUGCUUCAGGGUGAAUAUCCCUGGAGUUUGACGGUACCACUAAAGGAAGCCCCGGCUAACUCCGUGCCAGCAGCCGCGGUAAUAC